GUGGGGAAUAUUGCACAAUGGGCGAAAGCCUGAUGCAGCAACGCCGCGUGGGGGAUGACGGCCUUCGGGUUGUAAACCUCUUUUAGUAGGGAAGAAGCGAAAGUGACGGUACCUGCAGAAAAAGCACCGGCUAACUACGUGCCAGCAGCCGCGGUAAUACGUAGGGUGCAAGCGUUGUCCGGAAUUAUUGGGCGUAAAGAGCUCGUAGGCGGUUUGUCGCGUCUGCUGUGAAAUCCCGAGGCUCAACCUCGGGCCUGCAGUGGGUACGGGCAGACUAGAGUGCGGUAGGGGAGAUUGGAAUUCCUGGUGUAGCGGUGGAAUGCGCAGAUAUCAGGAGGAACACCGAUGGCGAAGGCAGAUCUCUGGGCCGCUACUGACGCUGAGGAGCGAAAGCAUGGGGAGCGAACAGGAUUAGAAACCCUGGUAGUCC
rnacentral:rRNA from 1 species